rnacentral:lncRNA from 1 species
CCGCGAACUCCCACUCUGUGACGACAAGUGUGCGCGUCGGACGUCUGUCAUCGGAGUGCGUCUGUUAUUGUUGGCAGAGAGUGGUGUGGCACAAUGUCUGAAGUCAGCGUGCCUGUCAAAACUGAAGAGAGGGGGGAACUGUGUGGCAGCGGGGCAGCAGAUCCUGAGAUGACGGAUUUCGAGCGGGGACUGAUCGUGGGCUACCAUGAAGGUGGGAAGACCUUGGCGGAAAUCGUGGAGAUCACGGGGCUGCCCAAACGCGCGGUGAAGAAAUUCCUGGGAGACUGGAAGAGAGGAGCUGUUGAUGCGUACACAGGCAUCUACAAGGAUGCCAGCGCAGCAGGGAAAGAGAGCGCAGACAGCGGGAGCGAUGACUGAAGCCGGAGCAGGCGAAUCUCACGGACGGACAGACUUCCUGUUGGUGAUGCUCCCCAGGCCGGCAGCGCUGGUCUCCCUGCUUUUCGCCAGUGUCGUCACGUUCUCGUGUGGCGGCACGAGGGGGAGGGGGGACUUUGUAAAGUUGCUCUUGAGAUAUGUGUUGUAUGCAGACCUUACAUAUUGUUUGUAUUUUAUUUUUUCAUUCGUAUUUGUACUGCAGGCAUGCAGCGUACCUGAAGACACUAAUGCCAAUAAAGAUUUCUACCUUGGAGAAUCUGGGAGAUUGAGUUCUUAA